AUGGUGGGGCGACGAGUGCUAGUCUGCUACGUGUUGAGCGCCAUGCCUACCUUCACGCUCACCGUCCUCCUUCUGCCGAAGAAGAUACUACGGGAGAUCGACAAGUGCAGGCGGCGCUUCCUUUGGAGCCAAGAUGAGGAGAUAACUGGGGCCAGUUGCAAGGUGAACUGGCCGAUGGUGUGUGCCCCCAUGAAGCAGGGGGGCCUCGGCGUCCCCGACCUCCAGCGUUUUGGCCGAGCGCUCCGGCUGCGCUGGCUGUGGAUCGCAUGGCACCACCCGGAAAGGCCCUGGGUGGGGUCCGAGCUGCCAUGCAACGACGCGGACAUGGCUCUCUUCUCGGCAUCGACUAAGGUGACGAUCGGAGACGGGACACAGGCAUCAUUCUGGCUAUCCCCGUGGCUUGGACAUGGUAAUCUCUCGCAACACUUCCCCCGACUCUACGUCCACUCUCGACGCGAGCACAGAACAGUCCAGGAGGCAAUGGAGGACGACACCUGGAUCCGCAAUCUUGCCCACGGACAAAACUAG
rnacentral:rRNA from 1 species